UCGCUGCUUGACAAUAGUGGAAUGCAUGUACGUGCAAUUUGAGAGUAUACCCUCACAUUUUAUAACACGAUCAUCAAGAAACAUCUAGCUAAGAAAUGUCGGAAAACUCUUUCAAGACAUGGAUGGCCGAUUUACCACAAGAGACAACCCGCGUUCCGCUCUGUUCAUUGGCAAUACCAGGUUCCCACGAUUCUGGAGCCUACUGGCUGGACCGAGCCGGGGGAAUCGCAGAAGACGAACCCUCAAUAAUCCGGACCCUCGCCAACAGCUGCUGCUGUGGCAUCUCCGUGGUCUACCAGUGGGCGCUGACCCAAAAUCUAUCGGUCAAAGGUCAACUGGAGCACGGCGUCCGCUACCUUGACCUCCGACUGUGUGGACGACCCGGAAGUCCCGAUGUUCACGUGGCCCACGGACUUUACGGUCACAGACUUCACGAUAUAUUAUUGGAAAUCAGGGAAUUCCUGGACGAGAACCAGAAAGAGUUCAUCAUUCUGGACUUUAAUCAUUUCCACAACAUGACUUCGGUUGAUCAUAGAGAAGUUUUAAUCCUCAUCAUAAAAAUAUUUGGUGUUCAAAUUCUCGGCGGAGAUACUCCAAUGUCAGCAUGGAGUAUAACAUUAGACAAUCUCUGGAAGACUCCAGCCAGACUAAUGGUGUUCUACGGUCAUCCGGCCAGAAAUGAGUUCUCCUUCUUUUGGUCAGAGGAGUAUCUGCAAUCGCCAUGGGCCAAUACAACUAGUUCAUCGGCCCUUGUCCGUUUUCAUGAAAACAACUAUUACCAGAGUGUGAGGCGGGGGGAAGGAGAGUUUUACGUGUGGCAGGGGGUCCUCACCCCCUCAACCGGCACUGUUAUAGGUAACCUGUGCUCCUCCCUAGAGAGAAAACUUGUCCCCCGGGCCACCUCAGCCUUUUUGAAAGUGGAUUAAAGACAAAGUGCCGAGUCGCGUGGGAAUCAACAUUUGCUGUGUGGAUUUUGUGGAAAAGUACAAUUUUAUUCCCAGUAUUCUUUCAUUAAACAAAAACAUACAAACUUAA
rnacentral:misc_RNA from 1 species